rnacentral:tRNA from 1 species
UCCCUCGUAGCCCAAAUGGUAGAGGCACCGGUCUCAGGUACCGGCCGGUGCGAGUUCGAUCUCGCCGAGGGAACC